rnacentral:rRNA from 1 species
AUUGAACGCUAGCGGCAUGCUUAACACAUGCAAGUCGAGCGAGUGGCGGACGGGUGAGUAAUGUAUCGGAACGUGCCCAAUGGCGGGGGAUAACUACUCGAAACGGUGGCUAAUACCGCAUACUAUUGGAUCGGCCCAUAUGGGAUUAGCUAGUUGGUGGGGUAAAGGCUCACCAAGGCGACGAUCCCUAGCUGGUUUGAGAGGACGACCAGGCAAACUGGGACGGAGAAAAGGCCCAGAAUCCUACGGGAGGCAGCAGUGGGGAAUUGUUGAACAUGGGGGAAACGCUGAGUGAGCCAGGGCGGGGGUAUUAGAAGGGCUUCGGGUUGUAAAGGACUUUUGGGAGAGAAGAGGUAUCUGAAGAAUAAGCAACGGCUAACUACGGGCCAGCAGCCGCGGUAAUAC